CACGUAGGCGGCCUGUUAAGUGUGGAGUGAAAUCCCACGGCUCACCCGUGGAACUGCUUCGCAUACUGGCAAGCUCGAGGACGGUAGGGGAGAGCGGAACUCUUGGUGGAGCGGUGAAAUGCGUAGAUAUCAAGAGGGACGCCGAUGGCGAAGGCAGCUCUCUGGUCCGUUUCUGCGCUGAGGUGCGAAAGCUAGGGUAGCGAACG
rnacentral:rRNA from 1 species